GGAAAAUGGAAGCUUAGUGAAAUUGCAGACUAUUGGCAAAUGCGUGGCUACAGAAAGGCCUGAGUGCUGCAAAAGGACACACAGCUGCAGUGGAAAGCAACUUACAAAUUCACACUGCUAACAAGCAGAGGCACUCCACUUUUUCAAAGGAAAUGUAUUUAAAGACUGACAUUAUUUCUCUCUAAAAAAGCUCUGUGUGCAUUAUGUCCUCUGUGGCCUGUGAGAAUGAAGCAGAGGCUCAACUUUGUCACACAUCCAGUAUGCAGUGUUACCGUGG